rnacentral:lncRNA from 1 species
AUGAGUUGGCACAUAGAGCAAGGGGCUGACUCUGUGAUAAUAGACGAUGUUGAGGCCACGAAGUUUUUAGGGUUAACUAAUGAUGUAUAUGUACAAAAUGCCGUUCGGCGUUUAAGACGAACACUGGGAGUUGAUAGAACUUUGGUUUCAGUUAUUGCUGAAGGUCUUAAUGACCAUUUUACUAAUGAUGGAUCAUGGCAGGAUGGAAGUUCAUCCUGGGUAACUCUUCAUCAAGCAAUCAAAAUAUUAAAGGGGGAAGGGAUGAAAGUAACUGUUGAAUUGCAGAGCCCUGAACUUUACGUGCAACAGCCUUUAACUCCAGUAAUGCGAAACAAACUGUUAGAAGGCUGUCCUGUACCCUGGAAACCAUACAUUAUUCCACUGUUAGUGUCUAACGCGGGGCACCCAUAGAAGAGAUCAUAGAGAGGUGGCAGCAACUUGGUGACCUUCCAGGCCUCCCACCCACAGAACAAAACCUUAACUUGAUAAAAUUAUACUGUUGUAACGAGGAGGGGUAAUAUGACACCUCAAGUAGAUAUUAAGUUGUUAGUAUUGGGAAGGGGGGAGUUGUUUGUGUUUUGUCUCCCACAGGACCCUGCUGGCUUCCAGCAUGUUUGAUGAAACCUUAUCAUGAGCGGCAAGAAUUCUGGACAGAGAUCAGUGAAUGCUGAGCAGCACAAGACCAGCCCGAAUAUCACAUGGAAGAAAAACAUAUCCUAAAUAUAAUUAAUUGUGUCUACUAAAUUUUACUAACUGGUGUAAUGACUCAGUUAUCAUGUACCUGUCUCUCGUGUGUCUUGUCCACAUCUGAUGUUGUGAUUCAUGUAAUGAACAAUGUCCUGGCCAGGGGCUGGGAGGAUAUAGCUAUCACAGCCAUGACUACUCCUGCAUUAGCCUAUUCAGUGCAGGUCAUGUAUCUUGAAUAACAAGCUGGAUUGGUUAUUCUUUUCUGCAUAGCAGGUCUUGUGUCCUAAUGGAUCCCUGGAUCUACUGCUCCAGAGAUAAGGUCUAUAUUUCUUAGAUGAGUUGCACCAACAAUCUGUAUGCUUUGUUUUGUAUUACUGGUAAGCAACAAUCAGAAUUGGAAUAUUAUUCCUGAACUGUGUGCUGCCAAGUUGUUCUGGCAGCAGUGCUAAGGGUAAAGGCUAAAGCUAAGCCCUGGCUUCAAGAAGUGAAGGACAUAUGUGAUGCUGUGUGCAGAGGGACUGCAAUUGUGCUUGGUUUUGUCUCCUAGGAUGGGGUAGACAUGCCACUAAGGGGGGAAAGAAGCCAAUGGAAAACUAUAAAACUUGUAACAUCCUGAAGCCUAAUGGUCAUCACUGUAUAGAACGAUCUGUUUCUGUGCUAUUCAUGUCACACCAGUGAUGUUUGUGAAGAUCAGGCAAAACAGUGUGGUUUGGGAAUUCUAAAU